AACACCUGUAAUUAUUGUCAGGUCAUGUCACACUGCUGUCUAAUUUGAAUUACCGUUACUGUGAUUGUUCUUAAUAGAAAUGUCAAAAAAUAUUUUUCUAAUUGCUCUCAGGGCCUUGAUAUAUCAAUGAAAUAUUUACAUUCCAUCUCCUUAAUAUAUCUGUAAUACAGGGAUACAACUUUCACUGGGGAUGGGGGGACAUGUCCCCCCCACAUUAUGAAAUAGCAUUUUUGUCCCCCCCCCAGUUUUAUCAUUGGAAUGUGAUACAAAACGAGGCAAACGGUGUGCUUUAGGACCAUGAGGACGCCUCCGAGCGGUUUGGCGUGUUUAUCCGACUGGAUAGAAAAUUUAAGUAAAAAAAAAAAAUUAUGUACCCCCCACUUCUAAAACCAGAGUUGCUAUAAUAUGUUGUCUGGCUUGACAGUAAACAACUGGCACCUAUCAUCAAGCAAUUCUGUUGUUAUAUAUUUACACUACCGUUCAAAAGUUUUAGGUCACUCAGAAAUGUCCUUGUUUUUUAAAGAAAAGCACAUUUUUUGUCUAUUAACUUCUUGGUGACAGGGGGCAGUAUUUUCACGUCCGGAUGAAAUGCAUGCCCAAAUUCAACUGCCUGCUACUCGUCCCCAGAAUAUAAGAUAUGCAUAUUAUUAGUAGAUUUGGAUAGAAAACACUCUGACGUUUCUAAAACUGUUUGAAUCACGUCUGUGAGUAUAACAGAACUUAUUUAGCAGGCGAAACCCAGAGGACAAACCAUUCAGAUGUAUUUUUUUUUGAGGUCACUCUCUUUUCAAUGAGUUUUCAUUGAAUCCAGAUUUCUAAGGGACCUUCUUGCAGUUCCUAUCGCUUCCACUGGAUGUCAGCAGUCUUUAGAAAUUGGUUGAGGUUAUUCCUUUGUGUAAUGAAGAAGUACGGCCAUCUUGAACGAGGGUCACUUGAAGUGUACUGUUGGAUAGAGGCACGUGACCAGAAAGCAUGCUUCAGUCUGUUAUCUUCCUGUAUUGAACACUAUCUAUGUGGUUAUGUUAGCAGAGCCGUAGGGACUCUAUCUAUGUGGUUAUGUUAGCAGGGUCAUAGGGGACUCUAUCUAUGUGGUUAUGUUAGCAGGGUCAUAGGGACACUAUCUAUGUGGUUAUGUUAGCAGGGUCAUAGGGAACUCUACCUAUGUGGUUAUGUUAGCAGGGUCGUAGGGGCCUCUAUCUAUGUGGUUAUGUUAGCAGAGCCAUAGGGACUCUAUCUAUGUGGUUAUGUUAGCAGGGUCAUAGGGGACUCUGUCUAUGUGGUUAUGUUAGCAGGGUCGUAUGGGGCUCUAUCUAUGUGGUUAUGUUAGCAGGGUCGUAGGGGACUCUAUCUAUGUGGUUAUGUUAGCAGGGUCGUAGGGGACUCUAUCUAUGUGGUUAUGUUAGCAGGGUCAUAGGGGACUCUAUCUAUGUGGUUAUGUUAGCAGGGUCGUAGGGGACUCUAUCUAUAUGGUUAUGUUAGCAGGGUCGUAGGGGACUCUACCUAUGUGGUUACGUUAGCAGGGUCGUAGGGACUCUAUCUAUAUGGUUAUGUUAGCAGAGCCGUAGGGACUCUAUCUAUAUGGUUAUGUUAGCAGGGUCGUAGGGGACUCUACCUAUGUGGUUACGUUAGCAGGGUCGUAGGGAUUCUAUCUAUAUGGUUAUGUUAGCAGAGCCGUAGGGGGCUCUAUCUAUGUGGUUAUGUUAGCAGGGUCGUAGGGGACUCUAUCUAUGUGGUUAUGUUAGCAGGGUCGUAGGGGACUCUACCUAUGUGGUUAUGUUAGCAGGGUUGUAGGGGGCUCUAUCUAUGUGGUUAUGUUAGCAGGGUCGUAGGGGACUCUAUCUAUGUGGCUAUGUUAGCAGGGUCGUAGGGGGCUCUAUCUAUGUGGUUAUGUUAGCAGGGUCGUAGGGGACUCUAUCUAUGUGGCUAUGUUAGCAGGGUCGUAGGGGACUCUAUCUAUGUGGUUAUGUUAGCAGGGUCGUAGGGGGCUCUAUCUAUGUGGUUAUGUUAGCAGGGUUGUAGGGGGCUCUAUCUAUGUGGUUAUGUUAACAGGGUCGUAGGGGACUCUAUCUAUGUGGCUAUGUUAGCAGGGUCGUAGGGGGCUCUAUCUAUGUGGUUAUGUUAGCAGGGUCGUAGGGGACUCUAUCUAUGUGGUUAUGUUAAUAGGGUCGUAGGGACUCUAUCUAUGUGGUUAUGUUAGCAGAGCCGUAGGGGCCUGUCUGGCUGCAAUUUGGGGUCAUAAAAAGCUAAUGGGCCUAACAUUCAACACUGGCUGACUGGAUGAAAAGCCAAAGCCCUCUGGCCUAUGGUCCAUUCACCAGAGUGGAUGGGUCAUGAUCAGGGGCUGGAGCAGGGGGUAGCAUAGGUAACCCUGGGUUGACCCAGGCCUGGAGUGUUGCAAGGUUUAGUUCCAACCAGGCACCGCACCUGACGCUCCUGAAAACUCUGGAGGUAACUCUCCAGAGGUAACUCUGGAGGGCUGGAUACUGUACAAGCACCAUCAUGUUUUAACCUGCUACAGCCUUCCCUAUCAUGAACCCUGCUGAAUCAGCAUGAUGCACUGUCCAUGGUGCUGACAGACUGCACUAGCCUUUUUCAGCAUGCAACUCUCUCUCAUAAAGAUCCCACUUGACACAGACUUCAAUUCAACUUCUAUUCCACCUUAGUUCAACCUAAUUUCAUUGAAAUGGUGGAAAGAACGUUGAUUCAACCACUGUGUGCCCAAUGGGAUAUUCUCACAGUGAAGACUAAUAAUAUACCUAGUAAAAUAGAUAUCAUCUCGAUUAAGCUAACUUGAAGAAGUAACUGUAAAACAGACUAGAUAUACAGAAAUGAGAACUAGGCAGCCUAAUGAAAACUCAGUGC
rnacentral:lncRNA from 1 species